rnacentral:piRNA from 1 species
UAUUGAUGAUGGCAGAACACCCGCCUU